UACGGAGGGUGCGAGCGUUGUCCGGAAUCACUGGGCGUAAAGGGUGCGUAGGCGGGUCUUUAAGUCAGGGGUGAAAUCCUGGAGCUCAACUCCAGAACUGCCUUUGAUACUGAGGAUCUUGAGUUCGGGAGAGGUGAGUGGAACUGCGAGUGUAGAGGUGAAAUUCGUAGAUAUUCGCAAGAACACCAGUGGCGAAGGCGGCUCACUGGCCCGAUACUGACGCUGAUGCACGAAAGCGUGGGGAGCAAACAGG
rnacentral:rRNA from 1 species